rnacentral:rRNA from 1 species
AAUAGAUACCCCGGUAGUCCACGCCGUAAACGAUGUCGACUUGGAGGUUGUGCCCUUGAGGCGUGGCUUCCGGAGCUAACGCGUUAAGUCGACCGCCUGGGGAGUACGGCCGCAAGGUUAAAACUCAAAUGAAUUGACGGGGGCCCGCACAAGCGGUGGAGCAUGUGGUUUAAUUCGAUGCGAACGCGAAGAACCUUACCUACUCUUGACAUCCACGGAAUUUAGCAGAGAUGCUUUAGUGCCUUCGGGAACCGUGAGACAGGUGCUGCAUGGCUGUCGUCAGCUCGUGUUGUGAAAUGUUGGGUUAAGUCCCGCAACGAGCGCAACCCUUAUCCUUUGUUGCCAGCGAUUCGGUCGGGAACUCAAAGGAGACUGCCAGUGAUAAACUGGAGGAAGGUGGGGAUGACGUCAAGUCAUCAUGGCCCUUACGAGUAGGGCUACGCACGUGCUACAAUGGCAUAUACAAAGAGAAGCGACCUCGCGAGAGCAAGCGGACCUCAUAAAGUAUGUCGUAGUCCGGAUUGGAGU